GUGCCAGCCGCCGCGGUAAUACGUAGGGUGCGAGCGUUGUCCGGAAUUAUUGGGCGUAAAGAGCUCGUAGGCGGUUUGUCACGUCUGCUGUGAAAUCCCGAGGCUCAACCUCGGGCCUGCAGUGGGUACGGGCAGACUGGAGUGCGGUAGGGGAGAUUGGAAUUCCUGGUGUAGCGGUGGAAUGCGCAGAUAUCAGGAGGAACACCGAUGGCGAAGGCAGAUCUCUGGGCCGUAACUGACGCUGAGGAGCGAAAGCGUGGGGAGCGAACAGGAUUAGAAACCCUCGUAGUCC
rnacentral:rRNA from 1 species